rnacentral:rRNA from 1 species
GAACGCCUCUAAGUCAGAAUCCGUGCUAGAAACGAUGAUGUUGGUCCCGCACAUUUGACUUGAGUUGAAGUAGAGCUUUGCUCGUGAACCAAAUCAGGUGGGCUUGGCUGUCUUUGCGGAAAUGCUUUGGCAGCUUGUCUACGAAUUGUAAUCAUAAUAUGGGCGGGGGUGAAUCCUUUGCAGACGACUUGAAUGGGAACGGGGUACUGUAAGCGGUAGAGUAGCCUUGUUGCUACGAUCCGCUGAGGUUAAGCCCUUGUUCUAAAGAUUUGUUCAACUUUGUUGAACUCUUUUUCUUUUUCUUUUUUUUCCUUCUCAUGCACUCACAUGAGGGCCGGUCUUUUUGACUUGGGCACCAGUGGUGGCAUGUGGACAUGGAUUAAAAGAUGGCCAGAUCAGGUUAGGUUAGGUUAAUAAGGUAAGUAGGGUAAGUAAAAAGUCGGACAUGACUCCAUUCAAUGAAUGGAUCAAAAGGAUGUUAUAGAUGUAAUAGUUAUCCACGGCCAUAGGACUCUGAAAGCACCGCAUCCCGUCUGAU